rnacentral:rRNA from 1 species
UACGGAGGGUGCAAGCGUUAAUCGGAAUUACUGGGCGUAAAGCGUGCGCAGGCGGUUUUGUAAGUCUGUCGUGAAAGCCCCGGGCUCAACCUGGGAAUUGCGAUGGAGACUGCAAGGCUUGAAUCUGGCAGAGGGGGGUAGAAUUCCACGUGUAGCAGUGAAAUGCGUAGAGAUGUGGAGGAACACCGAUGGCGAAGGCAGCACCCUGGGUCAAGAUUGACGCUCAUGCACGAAAGCGUGGGGAGCAAACAGG